AUUGAACGCUGGCGGCAGGCCUAACACAUGCAAGUCGAGCGGAGCGGCGGACGGGGGAGUAAUGCCUAGGAAUCUGCCUGGUAGUGGGGGAUAACGUCCGGAAACGGGAGCUAAUACCGCAUACUAUUGGAUGAGCCUAGGUCGGAUUAGCUAGUUGGUGGGGUAAAGGCCAACCAAGGCGACGAUCCGUAACUGGUCUGAGCGGAUGAUCAGUCACACUGUAACGGAGACACGGUCCAUACUCCUACGGGAGGCAGCAGUGGGGAAUAUUGGACAAUGGGCGAAAGCCUGAUCCAGCCAUGCCGCGUGUGUGAAGAAGGUCUUCGGAUUGUAAAGCACUUUAAGUUGGGAGGCGUUACCAACAGAAUAAGCACCGGCUAACUUCGUGCCAGCAGCCGCGGUAAUUC
rnacentral:rRNA from 1 species